ACCGACACCGAGAUUUUCCCAAACCUUGGUCCUUACUCUCGUAUAAAUUAGAAACGAACAGCGGAACAAUUUUCUCGCAACCGGAAGCACAGCAAACAUGGAUCUGAGAGAAAGCAUCAUCAACCAAAACGACGUCGCAAGGAGGCUGACGAAGCAGCUGGUUCAGACCGAAGGCAAGCAGUCGAACCUCGUGUACUCGCCGCUGUCCAUCCACGUUGUGCUGAGCCUGAUCGCGGCCGGGUCAAAGGGUCCCACCCAGGAGCAGCUGCUGUCGUUCCUCAAGUCAAAGUCCACCGACCACCUCAACUCCUUCGCCUCCCAGCUCGUGUCCGUGAUCUUCUCCGACGGGUCCCCCGUGGGCGGCCCCAAGCUGGCGUUUGCGAAUGGGGUUUGGGUGCACAAGCCUCUCCCGCUGAAGCCUUCCUUCGAGCAGGUGGUGGACGCUUCUUACAAGGCCGCUCUUGCCCCAGUCGAUUUUCAGACCAAUGUAAGCUCCCAAACCCUCUGUCAUGUCGUAUCGAUAGUGUUUUUUUUCAAUGCUGCUCAUGAUCAAAGUCUUCAAUUUUUUUCGAUUUGAUUGGAGAUGUUUGUUCCUUUGUUGAACCUAAAUUGCAGGCCUGCUGAUGCUCUUUUAUUAUUGUAGCAUUUCAAAUAAAUAUUUCCUCUCUAAUCAUUACUGUUCGUGCUUGUUCUUCUGAAUAGCUUAGCUGUUACGAAAUCGUAUCGUAGAUUUUUUGUUCGUUACUGUUUGUGGUUGUAAUUGAUCGAGAUAUGCAGGCUGAUAUCAUUGUUUUCUAACUUGUCGUAACUGUUGUUGGUGCUCAAGGCUGCUCAAGUGGCGUCGGGAGUGAAUUCAUGGGCUGAAAAGGAGACGAGCGGCCUUAUCAAGGAUCUACUUCCUCCCGGGUCACUUGACAGCUCAACCAGGCUCAUCUUUACGAAUGCAUUGUACUUCAAGGGAGCUUGGAAUGAGAAAUUUGAUGCAUCAGCUACAAAAGAGCAUGACUUCCACCUUCUCGACGGGAGCACAGUUAAGGCGCCCUUCAUGACCAGCAAGAACAAGCAGUAUGUAAGUGCCUUUGACGGUUUCUCAGUCUUAGGGCUUCCUUACAGACAAGGUGAAGACAAGCGGCGCUUCUCCAUGCACAUCUUUCUUCCACAGGCGAAAGAUGGGCUGCCAGCUUUGGUUGAGAAACUUGGCUCUGAGUCCGGGUUUUUAGAUCGCUAUCUUCCCAAACAACCAGUUGCAGUGGGCGACUUCAGAAUCCCAAAGUUUAAGAUCUCAUUUGGGUUUGAAGCUUCCAAUGUCCUAAAGAGUCUGGGACUGGUGCUGCCUUUCGAGGGUGAAGGAGGUCUGACAGAGAUGGUGGACUCGCCCGAGGGUAAGAAGCUAUAUGUUUCUAGCAUAUUCCACAAGUCGUUCAUCGAAGUGAAUGAAGAAGGCACAGAAGCUGCAGCUGCUUCUGCCGGCGUUAUAAGUGAGAGGAGGAUGCCCAUGACAUUUGUGGCUGAUCGUCCAUUCCUCUUCACGAUCAGGGAAGAAACGACCGGAACAGUUCUGUUCAUCGGUAACCUGCUCAACCCUCUUGCCGGCUGAGUGUUACAACCCCCUGGGAAAGGGCAUCAGAUGUACGUAGAAUAAUACGCGCGAGACUGUAGUAAAUAAAAUGUAUGAUCCUUGUAUACAUGUACUAUGUUUGGUUAUUACCUAAUCACCCUGUACUUGCAGCAGUUGGUCUUGUUUCUCCCAUGUGGCGAUUUUUGUUUGUUCUCCCAUGGCGUUUAUCCAUGUGUAGAAUCUUGAUUCUGAAUACUUAUUUUAUGAUGUACUCUGUUUGAACAAUAAAAGUUUUAGCCGACUGCAAACGUCGGUUAGUGUUAAAGUAUUUAAUAUAUAGAAUGGACGAGUGCUAGUGUUGUACCAUACACAUGGUUGGUGAUGAAAAAGAUUAAACUUUGAAUAUUCUAUAAAAUAUUAUUUAACUUGGGACGAGGAUCUUCUUUGUGAGGAUCUUAUGAAUUAAUUUAUCUUAACGGUUCAUUGUACAUCGUGUGACCAUCUUUCAUUAGAUACUUUUUGUGUUAAAUUUUAAAUAAAUUCAAAAUAAUUUUUGGCUGCAGGAUGAUUGAUAAACAGAUAUGAUGCAUUGAUUCCUAAAGUCCUCACAAAGAGAAUCCGGAUGUUUAUAGUCCUCCAUGACUGGAGAUGGCCUAAGAUGCUAAACACUUAACACUACCCAAUUUUUCCAGUUAGUUAAAUUUUCACAAUUAGUGUAUUAAAUUGCUUAAGAAAUGUUAUCAGCACUCUAAAAUAAUUGACCAUAUUUUCUUGACUCUUUUGUUAAAUUGCAUGAAGAUUUUUUUGGAUAGUCAAUAAUAUCUCCCAAUUGCUUAACAUAGAAUUAAAUAGAGUAUCGCUAACUAGAGCAUGAUAUGUUUCUGUGUCUUUGAUGCCCUUUGCUCGAGAAAAUUUAGUAUAGGGUUUUCAUCACAAAUGGUCCCUGACAUUGAUCAAACACAUCAUUUUGGUCCCUGACAUUGAAAAUCAAUAGAAAUGGUCCCUGACAUUGAUCAAACACAUCAUUUUGGUCCCUGACAUUGAAAAUCAAUAGAAAUGGUCCCUGACAUUGAUCAAACACAUCACAAAUAGUCCUUCCGUUAAAAACGUUUUGGGCAAUUUUCAAAGCUUUGUAACUCAAUCGUUUCUUAACCAAAUUCGACCCAUAAUAUAUCAAAAUGAAGAUAGGAAAGUGUAGAACAAGAUUAUACCUAUUUGGAAACCCAAUGGUUGCCGGAGAUGGCCGGAAAACAGCCUCAAAUGUGACUGGUCCGCGAAAAAACUGGAAAACUCGCCUGAAAUGGGGUAAACUUUAAACAUUCAUAACUUCUUCAAUAAUCAACGAAAUCGAGUGAUUCAAAAAUGAAAAUCAUACUUCUCGACGAGACUAAGAGAAUGGUAGCUUUCUUGAUGGCUAACUCAUUGUAGUUUGGCCGGAAAAUGACUCGAAAUUGGCUAACUCGAAAAUGGUUAUCCAAGUUCGAGCCAUUUUCCGGUCAAACCACGGUAAAUUAGUAGUCAAUAAAGAUACCAUUAUCUUUCUCUCAUUGAGAAGUAUGAUUUUCAUUUUUGAAUCACUCAAUUUCAUUGAGUAUUGAAGAAGUUAUGAAUGUUUAAAGUUUACCCCAUUUCAGGCGAGUUUUUCAGUUUUUUCGCGGACCAGUCACAUUUGAGGCUGUUUUCCGGCCAUCUCCGGCAACCAUUGGGUUUCUAAAUAGGUAUAAUCUUGUUCUACACUUUCCUAUCUUCAUUUUGAUAUAUCAUGGGUCGAAUUUGGUUAAGAAACGAUUGAGUUACGAAGCUUUGAAAAUUGCCCAAAACGUUUUUAACGGAAGGACCAUUUGUGAUGUGUUUGAUCAAUGUCAGGGACCAUUUCUAUUGAUUUUCAAUGUCAGGGACCAAAAUGAUGUGUUUGAUCAAUGUCAGGGAUCAUUUGUGAUGAAAACCCUUUAGUAUAUGAACGACAAACUACGUGUUAUUACGGCCACAGACGAUAAUCCAGACUAUUUGUUUAAUACUUAAGCUUACUUGUGGUCCCAUUAUGUAAAAAAAUUUUGCAUUAGUCUGCACACAAGAAAUUUUUUAUUGGUUUCAGUUGAGCUCAAAUAAUAAUAAUCUGUUCGUGUAAAAGUUAAAAUUUAUCUUAUUAUGUAAUUGAUUUAAAAUACCGUAAAUACUGAUUUAAAAUUAUCUCAUUGUCAGCUUGUGUGUCAUUCUCGUAGAAUUUGGAAUUAUUCACAUUGUUUAGUAACGUAGGAUAUUUCAAGAAGCAUUUUUGCUCACUAUCAUUUAGUGUAAUGUAUAUUCAUCAUUCUAUUUAUCAUCGUUAGAUGAGUUUGAAUUUUAAGAUCCGUGUAGUGGAUAGACACAAAUUUCAAAAUUCAAUCUCAUCUAACGAUAAUAAAUAUGAUGAUGAACAUAAAUCAAAUAAAUGAUGAUGAAAAAAAAUACAUAGAUAUUUCAGUACAUGAAAACGUCACGUUAAUGAAAGGAGCUGGAGCGCCUGCUGCUGACCUCGGUCAAACAGACGGUGUGGGUUUCACGUGGCUGGCGCGAAAUCUAAACCGUUAAUUUAAUGUUAGUUAUCUCUCCCCUUGUCACGACUCCCAUGUAAUGCUGUAAAGUCACAAGCACCCAUCGUUUGGUUCUAAUAUUACAACAGUACCGCCCAUGGAAACACAAUCUUAAGCAAUCUCUAAUACUCAUAAUGUUGUUGAAGUUUUGCACUAAUAAUAGUUGCUAAACAGUGAUUAGACAGUCAGAUAAGAGACAGGGUUUAUGAUGUGAUUUGGACGUCCCAUCCUUUGCCACUUAAAAUGUCUUACCUACCAAACAUAUCUUGAAAAAUAAUUUAGCUUGGUACGAAGAAUCACAAUUUUUGUUUAUAAUUGACGAAAUCAAUCAAUGCAUGUUUUUUAUCAAAUCAAUAUUUAUUGGGAUAUUCAUCCUUAAAAUCUUCAUUUUGUUAUAAAACAACAAUAUAUUUAUUAUUUUUAAAAUUUUGUAAUACGUUUAUUUAAGUAGUGACUUUGAACGUUUUAAAAUUGAAAAAUCAAUAUUUAAAUGCAAAGUUGUCCGUUUUGAAUAAUCUCUAACAAUAUUUUCCUUCUCGUAAAUGAGUAAGAUUGGUUUAUUUUGUACACAAUUAGAUAUUGAGAGUUGAAAUUCUAAAUACUAAGUUCUUCUUAACAUAUUUUCGUAACCAUUUAAGAUGUUUGUAUAUUCGAAGAAUAUGGAAAAAUUGAAUCAACCCAGAUUAUUAUUAUGGCUGUCGACAUCUUUUAUCAGAGGAUAGCCAUCAAGUCACACCGCAUAUCCAGAAAGAGAAAUCCAUCCAAAAAAUAGGAAAACGAAAUGACAUUCCUUAUUUUCCUCCAUGGACGUCCCUUCUCUCCCCACCACGAAGGUCCCAGCUGAAAAGAAACGGAUGGCACAAUCGUGAUUAUCACAAACAGGAAUGUCAAAUUGUAGCAAGAGCAUGGUCAGCGCCGUUACAAAUAAGUGGAAGUUCCUCGGAAGAGUAAGAGAACGCGACAAUCAUAACGUAAUCUAUCUCUUCACUUUCUCAAUCCUUUUCUAUCUUUUUUUUCUUUCUGGGUUCCUUGUACUUCUCAUAAAUAUUAAGAGUUUAAUUCAAAAGAAAGGAACUUUCUCUUUCAUUGCUUACAUUUUUUUUUUCAGAUUAUUUACUUUCCCUUCCUUGCAGUUGCUUGGAAGAAACCAAGCUCAGAAGACCUUUGUUUUUUGAGAAUUCAGUUCAAUCCGUUUAUAUAUAUAUAUAUAUAUGGUGUUGAUGAUUUACCAGAAGUGAUAGUGCUUCAACCGAGAAGAAGAAGCUUUUAGUCUUCAGAAAUUCAGAGAAAAGAUAAGGAAGUGGAAGAGUGAAGGAAAAGCAAAUCAAAAGAUGGGAGAAACUGCUCCUCAUCCUCCACCACAGGUGGUUGCUCGGCCGUCUCAGAUGCCUCUUGGGGCAGCGAAGGGUCCCCAUUUGGACUCCAACUGAGCAGCUCCACAACCUUCAGUAUUGCAUCCACUCCAACCCCUCUUAGCGUUAGUCUCUCUCUGUUUCUGUUAAUUUCUUCGUUCUGGGUUUUAUAUUUUUUGAGUAAAAAGCUGAUUAAAGUUGUGCUAUUUUAAUGGGUUGGUUUAAAAGUUGAAGCUUUUGGCACUACUUCUUAUUUAGUUUACUAGUUUGCUUUUUAUUCCUAAUUUUGCAAAUUACUUUUACUAUUUUUGUUUCGGAUUCUCUAAUUUAUUGUGUUCGAAUCUUUUUAAGUACUGUAAUUAGUUCUAAUAAAAUAAUAAGCAUAUGUUCCAUUACCAGUUUCAACUUAUCCUGCUUACAAGACAUCGAUAUCACUCGAAAAUGUUUAGGAAGUGUAAACGUAAAUUUCCCAUGUUUAUCAAAUGCAACAAACUGCUUCUAAUGGAUCGAAUUUUACAGCGGAAACAUUCGUACUCGCUUUUCAGCACUAUAUUGUGAUGCUCGGAUCCAUAGUUAUAAUUGCCACUAGUUUCGUGCCUCGGAUGGGUGGGGAUCAUGUAAGUUAUGUCCUCUAUACAGUAAAGUUUAUAAUAUGCCGGUUAAGAUUAGCGAUCACACACGUAGCUUUGAAUCCGUGAUGUUAAUGUUUGGGUUUUGUUCUCCCUUUGUGAUCAGGGUGACAAGGCACGCGUGAUUCAGACGAUGCUGUUUAUGGCAGCAAUAAACACUUUGAUCCAAACAUUCACGGGACAAGGCUUCCAACAGUGAUGACUUCGUCAUUCGCUUUUACCCUUCCGGUGAUGUCAAUCAUCAAUGAUUAUUCUGAUCGGAAUUUUAGAAGUGAACAUGAGGUAUGUAAAGUUUGAAACAUGUUAUUCAUAGAGGAUUUAACAUCACAUUAAUUUACUUCUUAAAUUGCUUUAAGAAAUUUCAGUUAUAGACUUUGAGAUGAAAAAUACGUGGUGCAAAAAACGUGUAAACCUUACAUACCUGUAGAAGACGUCAUGAUGAAUUUCUGGUUUUGAGGACGGAAUAGAUUGAAGCACGUCCAUGCACUGUUGCGUCAUAUGCAACAAACUGAUGGGGAGUUCUAGGGUUGUGGCAUUAGCAAUGUGACAGGGACCUCAAACUUACAUAGGCCUCACGUCCCUAGAACCCUACCCACUAAUGGAGACUAGAAACUCUUAUGAUCCUCUAACGAGAAUAAUAAAGCCAAUGGAAAUGUUAGCACACAAUUGUUGUACAUAUAACAGACUUCGAGCAAUUUUUGGAACACGUAAAACAUUGUUAAGAAUAAGAUCAUGAGUAUUGGUUUUAAUGGUUGUUGCAUCAAUAUUCUUAAUGGAUAAACCUGUUCCAUUUCCAACUGUGAUUUUAUCAAAACCUUGGAAUGGUGUAACUUGAUUCAAUGUGGUGGCAUCAGCAGUGAUAUGAUGAGAUGCACCAGUAUCAACAAUCCAUGCAUCAUGAGGAAUAUAUUGUUCUAUCUGCUGUGUUGCCAUAGCUGUUAAGUUUGCAGGUGGUUGUUGGCCUUGAAAAACAUAAUUCCCUUUGUGAUAACAUUCAAGAGCUGAGUGACCUUUUUUUCCCACAAAUCUGACACUCCAUUUGAAAUCUAGUAUUUGGUGUAGUAGCAUUUCUGUGAAAACAAUUGACUGCAGUAUGCCCUUUCUUGUUGCAGAUUUGGCACUCAAUCACUGUUGUUGACCUGCUCUCUGUGUUUCCAUUCCACACAUUUGAACCAUUUGACCUUGAAUUGCCAUACGAAAAAUCAGAAGAGUUUCCUAUGUUGUAACCCUUGCUUUUGAAUCCACCAUUUGUCUUGUAAUUAUUGUUACCCUUGUAGUUUGAACCACCAAAAGGUUUCUGCAUGAAAUGAGGUAUUGGACCAGAAUUUGAUGCAUUAGCCAUAAACCCAAAACCAUAGGGAACUUGAGGAUAAACUGGACCAGGAAAUUGCGGAGACAUAGGAGGUUGAGGCAUAUGAGGUUGCUGUGGAUAUUGUUGUGGCAAGACAAAUGGCUGUGGUUAUUGUGGCUGUGGAUAUUGUUGUGGAUAUUGCUGUGGUAAAACAAAUGGCUCAGCAGAAUAUGGAUAUGGAUUAGGAGUUAUAACACCACCAGUGGUUGCAGGUAAAUGACUAUGCCCUGCAGGAUUAGACCCUGAAGCAAAUGAAUUUCCCUGAGUUGACUAAGAACCCUAAACAUAUAAGGCAGAUAGACUUUGAGACCCAACACUUGUGUCUCAUUCAAUCUCUUUUUCAGCUCUAAAUUUUUUCAAGGAAAUGGAUGAUUCUUUGCCAUAUAUCACAGUUCGAAUAGUUGCAUACUCCUUCGGCAAACCAGCUAAACCAGCAAUUAUAACAUCAUUAUCAGAAAUGAACUCUCCAGUAGCAGUUAAUUGUUCUCUUAUACUCUUCAAUCUUAACAGAUAUUUAUCCAUCAAAUCUCCUCAUUUUUGAAUGGUGUACAACUCAAUUUUUAAAUGAUUUACCCUAGUUUUAGACACUGAAGCAAAUCUAUCCACAAGAUUCGACCAAGCCUCACAAGCAGUUAAACAUCCAAGAACAUAUUUAAUAGCCUCAUCAAACAAAGUAGCUAGUAAAAGACUUAGUAAUGGAUAUGUGGAUUCCCAUUCAACAUAUUCAGCAAGUUCAGAAGUAACUCCUCUCUUAGUAUCUAUUACAAAUUUUUGUGGACAACCAAUAGUGCCAUCAAAAUGCCCAAACAAUUUAUGACCUUUCAACACAUAUUUGAACUGAAAAGCCCAUUUCACAAAAUUAUCAUCCUUCAACUUUAUUGUGAUCAUUCCCAGUUUCAACUUUAACACUUGAAGUAGUCAUGAUUUCUUGAUCGAACACAUAGAAUUUGCAAAUAACAAACAAACACCCAAAAAUUUCUGAUAUACGUAUUGAAAGGAAAGACUGAAACUUUCUCACAACCCAAGCAAGACUGAAACUCGCUUAAUACUCAGGAAAAACUGAAACUUUCUUGAUGAAUCUUGCACACAAAUACAACACACAAUUCCAAUUCGGAAAAGAAAACACAAAAUCUUCUAAUCAGGACUGAAACCCAAUUACUCAACAGAAAUUCACACUAUCACUUGAAUUGCAGCUGUGAUUGCAGCCACAAAUAGCCAGAAUACCAACCGCCAGAAAGAACAACAAGGAUCUGCAAUCGCCAGAACUUUUGAACAAACCCGUUGAAAAGACCUUUCAGAAUCCUUGAACUGGAUAGCAGCGAAAGAACUAGGAUCGAAAACGGUAGUGAACCAUGGUCAGCGAUGAUACCAUAUUAACAGUGUUGAAUUGUGGCCAAGUGGCCAUCACCUUUCGGCUAAUAAACAAACAAAGAAAAGAAAAAGAAAGACAAAAUGAUGAGGAAACAUCAUGAUGAGGAGGCAUCAUGAUUAUGCUUUCUUGUAGUUUUUUAAUAACCAUAAUUAUUGUUUUUGUUUCGGGUAGAAGAGAAGAAAGGGAGAGCUCAUUUUUUAGAAGAAAGCAUAUUAAAGAGAGAAGAGGAGAGAGAGAAGGUAGAGCCUUUUGGUUAUAAAAGGCAUUCGAUUAUGCCUUUGGAUGUGGGAGGGGGGGGAGCGGCAGAUGAGAGAGCACAGGGAGAGCAUUCGGCUCUCCCAUUUGAAUAUGAGCUGCUCCUUCCCACCAUUUGUAAUAAUCCCAUUUUGUUAGUAAUCACUCAAUCAAAGAUGUUGGUGCUACUUGUGUAGCUUUUGGGAGAGAAGGAUUUUGAUAUGUGUUUCUUCUUCUCCAUUUGUUUCUUAGUUUGAGUGAGAGCUAUUGGGUGUAUGUGGGAUUUGGGUUUGAGUGUUGAACUCUAUUUGUAAUCUCCUUUUGAUAUUAAUGGAAUUUCCUCGCCGUCUCGGAACUGGAUGUAGGCUUACGCCAAACCAGUAUAAAAAUCCUUGUGUCUUUUGGAUUAUUUGUCUUGUCAUAUUUUGCCGUUAUUAGCUUUGAUUUCAUAUUUGAAGCUUCCGCACAACAAGUGGUAUCAAAGCUCCGGGUUUCGACUUGGAGGCUUUGUACUAGUAUGUCUAUGAAAUCUUCAAAUGACGGUGAAAUAUGUUUUUUGGAAAAAUUCGACUGGAGGAAUGACUUUGGCAUUUGGUCAAUUGGAGAUGCAGAGUUUGGCUGCAAAAUGCGUGGCGUUGAAGAAGGAUAGUAAGGGACUAUGCUGCAGUCAUUGAGCUUGCAGAUUGGAGAAUGGUUUCGGAAACAGCGUGUCUGCUGCAAUGUUGCCGUCGAUGUUGUUGAAGUGUUGGUGUUCGACAGCUGCAGAUGUAGUGUACUGCUUUUGGUGGGUUCUCUGUUGGUCAUCGCUGCACCGGAGGUGUUUGUGGGCUGUUGUCGACGAGUUGAGUGGGAAGGAGAAAAGGUAGAAGCAGUUGAAAAUUGAAAAGAAAAUGUUGGUUCUUUUUCUUUCGGCAUUUGUUUUGGCAGAAGGACAUCAUGAUGACAAAUGAUGUUGUUGGCUGGAAGAAAAGGGAAAAAGGCUAAGGCUAAGUUUUCUUUUCUUUGGCAUUUUUUCAACGGCAGAAAAUUUUUGGUUCUUUUUUCACUCCCAUUAGUUGCCUUUGGAGCAAGUUGAUGGAAACAUUGGAGGAGUUUGUGAGGGCCAAUUUGUUGAGUUCUGCAAGUUUGGAUAGUGAGGCACCACACUAUUUUGGAUACACCACAUGCACUGCAGAACAUUUGUGUGGAACCCUCUUGUAGAAGGCAAGUUAUAUGCUUUCUAACUUUGUUUGGUCUAUGGACAUUUAGUUGGAUUUGUUUGCCACUGCUAUUUGGUUUGUUGGUCUCCAUCAUCUGCAAUUAGUUUUCUUGAAGACUCCAGUUGAGGUAUGGUUUUGGAUCUCCUGCUGAUUAUUUGAAUUUGAAAUUUUUGGUUGUCCUGUUGGUGCUCAUGUGAUGAUGGUAAACUUGAGUGGAGGGCAUAGUUUUUUUGUAUGUGGUAUGUUAGACCUUGUUGCCAAAUUUGUAAUCAGUUUUGACUUGGAGAAUAUGCCGUGCUAUUUGAAUGAGUCUAUUGAUGCAGUUUAAGACCAUGGUGUUUGUAAGCAGGUGGAGUUCGUUCUGUGUCCAACUUUGGUAUGGUGUGCUUGAUCUUUUGUUAGUGAUAUUGAAGAAUUUCAGUUCUUCGUUUGAAUCACUUUUGUUUUGAUCAAGGCACUUAUGGUUUGCAAAUUUGGAGAAUACGGUAGAGAAAUGGUCUACUUUUGUUGGCUUUGGUAUAAUUUGAGUCGAGGUGGAGAUCAUUAUGAGUACCGGAAAGUUUGGGGAAUUUGAUUUAGUUCCCGUUGUCUUUAGUUUGUACUUUGGGUGAUUAUGGUGAUUGUUGAUUCGAUUCUCUGUGAUGGUUUCGGAACUUGGCCAAGGUGGAGAUUGUUGAAUUGUGGCCAAGUGGCCAUCAUCGGCUAAUAAACAAACAAAAGAAAAGAAAAAGAAAGACAAAAUGAUGAGGAAACAUCAUGAUGAGGAGGCAUCAUGAUUAUGCUUUCUUCUUUUGUGGUUUUUUAAUAACCAUAAUUAUUGUUUGUUUAUUAGCCGAAAGGUGAUGGCCACUUGGCCACAAUUCAACAAUCUCCACCUUGGCCAAGUUCCGAAACCAUCACAGAGAAUCGAAUCAACAAUCACCAUAAUCACCCAAAGUACAAACUAAAGACAACGGGAACUAAAUCAAAUUCCCCAAACUUUCCGAUACUCAUAAUGAUCUCCACCUUGACUCAAAUUGUACCAAAGCCAACAAAAGUAGACCACUUCUCUACCGUCUUCUCCAAAUUUAAAUCCUAUGAAGAAAGGGAGAGCUCAUUUUUUAGAAGAAAGCAGAUUGAAGAGAGAAGAGGAGAGAGAAGGUAGAACCUUUUGGUUAUAAAAGGCAUUCGAUUAUGCCUUUGGAUGUGGGGAGAGCGGCAGAUGAGAGAGCACAGGGAGAGCAUUCGGCUCUCCCAUUUGAAUAUGAGUUGCUCCUUCCCACCAUUUGUAAUAAUCCAAUUUUGUUAGUAAUCACUCAAUCAAAGAUGUUGGUGCUACUUGUGUAGCUUUUGGGAGAGAAGGAUUUUGAUAUGUGUUUCUUCUUCUCCAUUUGUUUCUUAGUUUGAGUGAGAGCUAUUGGGUGUAUGUGGGAUUUGGGUUUGAGUGUUGAACUCUAUUUGUAAUCUUCUUUUGAUAUUAGUGGAAUUUCCUCGCCGUCUCGGAACUGGAUGUAGGCUUAUGCCGAACCAGUAUAAAAAUCCUUGUGUCUUUUGGAUUAUUUGUCUUGUCAUAUUUUGCCAUUAUUAGCUUUGGUUUCAUAUUUGAAGCUUCAGCAAUACAAACAGUACAAGAUCAAUGAAUUCCUAUGAAUGAAUAAACUAAAGAAAUCGAAGAAAGAGAAUAACGAGAGAGAAAAGCUUUUCAUUUAUAUUGCUCUAACAGAAAAUGAUUACAUGAUAAAAAUCUAAGUCUCCAAAACAAUAAUUAUAUAGAGACUAGAAUGAGCAGAAUCACAAUAUUGCCUUUCUAACUAAUUCUUAUCUUCUAACAACCUCAACACUCACAAGCUUGACACUUGUCAUUUCUUACAACCACUCCUAACAAAUCCUAACUGUUUAUCUGGUUAAUAUAACGGAUGGCCGACGACCGACACCGAGAUUUUCCCAAACCUUGGUCCUUACUCUCGUAUAAAUUCGAAACGAACAGUAAACAAUUUUCUCGCAAUCGGAAGCACGGCAAACAUGGAUCUGAGAGAAAGCAUCAUCAACCAAAACGACGUCGCAAGGAGGCUGACGAAGCAGCUGGUUCAGACCGAAGGCAAGCAGUCGAACCUCGUGUACUCGCCGCUGUCCAUCCACGUGGUGCUGAGCCUGAUCGCAGCCGGGUCAAAGGGUCCCACCCAGGAGCAGCUGCUCUCAUUCCUCAAGUCAGAGUCCACCGACCACCUCAACUCCUUCGCCUCCCAGCUCCUGCCCUUUAUCUUCUCCGAUGGGUCCCCCGUGGGCGGCCCCAAGCUGGCGUUUGCGAAUGGCGUUUGGGUGCAGAAGCCUCUCCCUCUGAAGCCUUCCUUCAAGCAGGUGGUGGAAGCUUCUUACAGGGCCGCUCUCGUCCUAGUUGAUUUUCAGACCAAUGUAAGCUCCCAAACCCUCUGUCAUGUCGUUUCGAUUGUUUUUGUCGAUGCUGCUCAUGAUCAAAGUCUUUGGUUGUAAUUUCAGACCAAUGUUUCAAUGUCGAUGCUGCUGAUGCUCUUUUGUUCGUUACUGUUUUUGGUUGUAAUUGAUCGAGAUAUGCAGGUUGAUAUCAUUGUUUUCUAACUUGUCGUAACUGUUGUUGGUGCUCAAGGCUGCUCAAGUGGAGUCGGAAGUGAAUUCAUGGGCUGAAAAGGAGACGAGCGGCCUUAUCAAGGAUCUACUUCCUCCCGGGUCACUUGACAGCUUCACCAGGCUCAUCUUUACCAAUGCAUUAUACUUCAAGGGAGCUUGGAAUGAGAAAUUUGAUGCAACAGCUACAAAAGAGCAUGACUUCCACCUUCUCGACGGGAGCACAGUUAAGGCGCCCUUCAUGACCAACAAGAACCAGCAGUAUGUAAGUGCCUUUGACGGUUUCUCAGUCUUAGGGCUUCCUUACAAACAAGGUGAAGACAAGCGGCGCUUCUCCAUGCACAUCUUUCUUCCACAGGAGAAAGAUGGGCUGCCAGCUUUGGUUGAGAAACUUGGCUCUGAGUCCGGGUUUUUAGAUCGCUAUCUUCCCAAACAACCAGUUGCAGUGGGCGACUUCAGAAUCCCAAAGUUUAAGAUCUCAUUUGGGUUUGAAGCUUCCAAUGUCCUAAAGAGUCUGGGACUGGUGCUGCCUUUCGUGGGUGGAGGUCUGACAGAGAUGGUGGACUCGCCCGAGGGUAAGAAGCUAUAUGUUUCCAACAUAUUCCACAAGUCGUUCAUCGAAGUGAAUGAAGAAGGCACAGAAGCUGCAGCUGCUUCUGCCGGCGUUAUAAGUGAUAGGAGGAUGCCCAUGACAUUUGUGGCUGAUCGUCCGUUCCUCUUCACGAUCAGGGAAGAAACGACCGGAACAGUUCUGUUCAUCGGUAACCUGCUCAACCCUCUUGCCGGCUGAGUGUUACAAUCCCCUGGGAAAAGGCAUCAUGUGUACGUAGAAUAAUACGAGAGUAUAGUAAAUAAAAUGUAUGAUCCUUGUAUACAUGUGCUAGGUUUGGUUAUUACCUAAUCACCCUGUACUUGCCGCAGUUGGUCUUGUUUCUCCCAUGUGGCGAUUGUUGCUCGUUCUCCCAUGGCGUUUAUCUAUUUGUACAAUCUUGAUUCUGAAUACUUAUUUUAUGUUGUACUCUGUUUGAACAAUUAAAGUUUUAGCCGACUGCAAACGUCGGUUAAGUGUUAAAGUAUUUGGACAGGGAUUGUCUGCUUUUUCAUUUUUCGUGUCCUUCUGUUUUGUGUGUUCACAGUUAAACUACGUCAAUAUUUUAUAUUAUUUUUUUAUAGAAAUAAUAAGAUAAAAAUAAAUAAUAAUAUAAAAUAUUAACGUGACUUAACUGUAACCACACAAACAGGAGGGCACGGAAGACCACCGGAAGUGGAAGAGCGGACAUUCUUGUCCAAAGUAUUUAAUAUAUAGAAUGUACGAGUGCUAGUGCUGUACCAUAUACAUGGUUGGUGAUGAAAAGGAUUAAACUAUGAAUAUUCUAUAAAAUAUUAUUUACCCUAGGACGAGGAUUUUCUUUGGAUCUUCUUUACGAGGAUCUUAGGAAUUAAUUCAUUUUAACGGUUUAUUGUACAUCGUACGGUCAACUUUCGUUAGAUACUUUUUAUGUUUAAUUUUAAAUAAAUUCAAAAUAAUUUUUCACUGCAUGAUGCAUUGAUUCCUAAAGCACUCGCAAAGAGACUCCAGAUGUUUAGUUCUCCAUGACUGGAGAUGGCCUAAGAUGCUAAACACUUAACACUAACCAAUUUUUCCGGUUAGUUAAAUUGUUUAAUAAAUGCUAUCCACACUCUAAAAUAAUUGACCAUAUUUUCUUGACUCUUUUGUUAGAUUGCAUGAAAUAUUGUUCGAGUAAAUAAUCUCUCAAGUAUCACUCAGACUUCAUAAUGAUUUUGAUUUUGAUUACAUAGUAAGCAUGUCAUUAAGGUCAAAUUUUGAACAAACACCCAAUUACAUAGCACGCAUGUUAUUAUGGUGUAUGCUCAUUGUCACUUUCAAAACUUGACACCUGUCUACUAACAUAACCGAUGGCCGACGACCGACACCUUCCCAAACCUUGGUCCUUACCCUCGUAUAAAUUCGAAACGAACAGUAAACAAUUUUCUCGCAAUCGGAAGCACGGCAAACAUGGAUCUGAGAGAAAGCAUCAUCAACCAAAACGACGUCGCAAGGAGGCUGACGAAGCAGCUGGUUCAGACCGAAGGCAAGCAGUUGAACCUCGUGUACUCGCCGCUGUCCAUCCACGUGGUGCUGAGCCUGAUCACAGCCGGGUCAAAGGGUCCCACCCAGGAGCAGCUGCUCUCAUUCCUCAAGUCAAAGUCCACCGAUCACCUCAACUCCUUCGCCUCCCAGCUAGUGUCCGUGAUCUUCUCCGAUGGGUCCCCCGUGGGCGGCCCCAAGCUGGCGUUUGCGAAUGGGCUUUGGGUGCACAAGC
rnacentral:lncRNA from 1 species